rnacentral:misc_RNA from 1 species
AGGGCAUGGCUGGUGGAGAGCUUGUUGUUACCCCUCCUGAGAAUACUGCCUUUUGCCCAGAAGAUGCUACUAUAGUAGGUAACACCUGCUUAUAUGGUGCAACCGGAGGUCAAGUGUUCGUUAGAGGCAAAGCUGGAGAACGUUUUGCGGUUAGAAACUCUCUUGCCCAGGCUGUGGUAGAGGGAACCGGAGAUCAUUGUUGUGAAUACAUGACUGGUGGUUGUGUAGUAGUACUUGGAAAAGUUGGCAGGAAUGUUGCUGCUGG